rnacentral:rRNA from 1 species
GAGAACGCUGGCGGCGUGCUUAACACAUGCAAGUCGAGCGAAGUGUUCAAGACAGAUUUCUUCGGAUUGAAGUCUUGAAUAUCUUAGCGGCGAACGGGUGAGUAACGCGUGAGAAACCUGCCUUUCACAAAGGGAUAGCCUCGGGAAACUGGGAUUAAUACCUUAUGAUACUUCAAAUUCGCAUGAAAUUGAAGUUAAAGCGUAAAGCGGUGAAAGAUGGUCUCGCGUCCCAUUAGUUAGUUGGUGAGGUAACGGCUCACCAAGACCGCGAUGGGUAGCCGGCCUGAGAGGGUGAACGGCCACACUGGAACUGAGACACGGUCCAGACUCCUACGGGAGGCAGCAGUGGGGAAUAUUGCACAAUGGAGGAAACUCUGAUGCAGCGACGCCGCGUGAGUGAAGAAGGCCUUCGGGUCGUAAAACUUUGUCCUAGGGGACGAUAAUGACGGUACCCUAGGAGGAAGCCCCGGCUAACUACGUG